AUUGAACGCUGGCGGCAUGCUUUACACAUGCAAGUCGAACGGUAACAGGCCUUCGGGUGCUGCCGAGGGGCGCACGGGGGGGUAAUGCAUCGGAACGUACCCAGAGGUGGGGGAUAAGGAAGCGAAAGCUGUGCUAAUACCGCAGGUGAUCUAAGUAUGAAAGCGGGGGACCGAGUAGCAAUGUUUGGCCUUGCGCUUUUGGAGCGGCGGAUGUCGGAUUAGCUAGUUGGUGGGGUAAAGGCCUACCAAGGCGACGAUCCGUAGCUGGUCUGAGAGGACGACCAGCCACACUGGGACUGAGACACGGCCCAGACUCCUACGGGAGGCAGCAGUGGGGAAUUUUGGACAAUGGGCGAAAGCCUGAUCCAGCAAUGCCGCGUGCGGGAAGAAGGCCUUCGGGUUGUAAACCGCUUUUGGCAGGAACGAAACGGUGUCCGCUAAUACCGGGCGCUAAUGACGGUACCUGCAGAAUAAGCACCGGCUAACUACGUG
rnacentral:rRNA from 1 species